CGUGCGAUUGGAUAAAUGGAGACAUCUCAUCUGUUUUUUGCGAGUUAUCCAACCUACAAGUAUUAAAUCUACAACACAAUGAUUUUUCACGAUUGCAUUGCAGCCUCUUGCAACUUUGUAGUCUCAAGGUCCUCAACCUGUCAUAUUGCUGUGACCUUGUAGAAUUACCAGAUCUCCCAUCAAGCAUAGCUGUGCUCCAAGCAUAUCAGUGCAAAAAGCUUAAACUUGUAGAUCUUCCAACAGAUCUUAAAUGGUUGUGGAGAAUCUCACUUCCAAUGAAUUGUAUAUUGGGUGAUAUGGAGAGAAAAGUACAAUCCAUGCUUCAGGGAAAUUCCAUUUAUGAUAACUCCAUCAGUCUCUCUUUCCAUGUUGAUAACAUUCGAUUAGAAGACUUUGCAAGGAGAAGAUUGAUGUUAGAGCUUCCAAGGAACUGGUACAACAAAUUCAGUGGAUUCUUAAUAUGCUUAAAAGUUGAAGGGAUGAUUGGCAACAAUAGUAAUGUAAUUACUAUCGAGGACGUAAUGGGUAGGGAAAAUGAAGAUGUUUUGGAGGUGUCUGAUGAUGAAACUUUCAAGUGGAUACGGGGUAAGGGUGAGGUAUACAAGUGCUAUAUAUAUAUAUCCUGCAGUUCAUUGAGGCAUACCUCAUGGUGGAAGUCAACACACAC